GGACGAGUAGCCAAGCGGUCGACGGCACGCGGCUCUUAACCGCACGAGCGCAAGCUCCGCGCUGGUUCGAAUCCAGCCUCGUUCACCA
rnacentral:tRNA from 1 species